rnacentral:rRNA from 1 species
UUAAGCGACUAAGCGUACACGGUGGAUGCCCUGGCAGUCAGAGGCGAUGAAGGGCGUGCUAAUCUGCGAUAAGCGCCGGUAAGGUGAUAUGAACCGUUAUAACCGGCGAUACCCGAAUGGGGAAACCCAGUGUGAUUCGUCACACUAUCAUUAACUGAAUCCAUAGGUUAAUGAGGCGAACCGGGGGAACUGAAACAUCUAAGUACCCCGAGGAAAAGAAAUCAACCGAGAUUCCCCCAGUAGCGGCGAGCGAACGGGGAGGAGCCCAGAGCCUGAAUCAGCAUGUGUGUUAGUGGAAGCGUCUGGAAAGGCGCGCGAUACAGGGUGACAGCCCCGUACACAAAAGCGCAUAUGCUGUGAGCUCGAUGAGUAGGGCGGGACACGUGGUAUCCUGUCUGAAUAUGGGGGGACCAUCCUCCAAGGCUAAAUACUCCUGACUGACCGAUAGUGAACCAGUACCGUGAGGGAAAGGCGAAAAGAACCCCGGCGAGGGGAGUGAAAAAGAACCUGAAACCGUGUACGUACAAGCAGUGGGAGCCCCACCACUAAGCCAGUGGUGAACUCCACAUACGCAUCCUUUGCUGAGGAGACGGUUAACGGAGCGAAAGCGACGUUCAACCUCAAAAGAAGCAGAGGGGGCUUAGUGGUGGGGUGACUGCGUACCUUUUGUAUAAUGGGUCAGCGACUUAUAUUCUGUAGCAAGGUUAACUGUAUAGGGGAGCCGGAGGGAAACCGAGUCUUAACCGGGCGUUAAGUUGCAGGGUAUAGACCCGAAACCCGGUGAUCUAGCCAUGGGCAGGUUGAAGGUUGGGUAACACUAACUGGAGGACCGAACCGACUAAUGUUGAAAAAUUAGCGGAUGACCUGUGGCUGGGGGUGAAAGGCCAAUCAAACCGGGAGAUAGCUGGUUCUCCCCGAAAGCUAUUUAGGUAGCGCCUCGUGAAUUCAUCUCCGGGGGUAGAGCACUGUUUCGGCUAGGGGGCCAUCCCGGCUUACCAACCCGAUGCAAACUGCGAAUACCGGAGAAUGUUAUCACGGGAGACACACGGCGGGUGCUAAUGUCCGUCGUGAAGAGGGAAACAACCCAGACCGCCAGCUAAGGUCCCAAAGUCAUGGUUAAGUGGGAAACGAUGUGGGAAGGCCCAGACAGCCAGGAUGUUGGCUUAGAAGCAGCCAUCAUUUAAAGAAAGCGUAAUAGCUCACUGGUCGAGUCGGCCUGCGCGGAAGAUGUAACGGGGCUAAACCAUGCACCGAAGCUGCGGCAGCGACACCGUGUGUUGUUGGGUAGGGGAGCGUUCUGUAAGCCUGUGAAGGUGUGCUGUGAGGCAUGCUGGAGGUAUCAGAAGUGCGAAUGCUGACAUAAGUAACGAUAAAGCGGGUGAAAAGCCCGCUCGCCGGAAGACCAAGGGUUCCUGUCCAACGUUAAUCGGGGCAGGGUGAGUCGACCCCUAAGGCGAGGCCGAAAGGCGUAGUCGAUGGGAAACGGGUUAAUAUUCCCGUACUUGGUGUUACUGCGAAGGGGGGACGGAGAAGGCUAUGUUGGCCGGGCGACGGUUGUCCCGGUUUAAGCGUGUAGGUAUGUGUUCCAGGUAAAUCCGGUUCACUUUAACACUGAGGCGUGACGACGAGGCACUACGGUGCUGAAGCAACAAAUGCCCUGCUUCCAGGAAAAGCCUCUAAGCAUCAGGUAACAUCAAAUCGUACCCCAAACCGACACAGGUGGUCAGGUAGAGAAUACCAAGGCGCUUGAGAGAACUCGGGUGAAGGAACUAGGCAAAAUGGUGCCGUAACUUCGGGAGAAGGCACGCUGACACGUAGGUGAAGUGAUUUACUCACGGAGCUGAAGUCAGCCGAAGAUACCAGCUGGCUGCAACUGUUUAUUAAAAACACAGCACUGUGCAAACACGAAAGUGGACGUAUACGGUGUGACGCCUGCCCGGUGCCGGAAGGUUAAUUGAUGGGGUCAGCGCAAGCGAAGCUCCUGAUCGAAGCCCCGGUAAACGGCGGCCGUAACUAUAACGGUCCUAAGGUAGCGAAAUUCCUUGUCGGGUAAGUUCCGACCUGCACGAAUGGCGUAAUGAUGGCCAGGCUGUCU